rnacentral:rRNA from 1 species
CGCUAGUAAUCGUGGAUCAGAAUGCCACGGUGAAUACGUUCCCGGGCCUUGUACACACCGCCCGUCACACCAUGGGAGUGGGCUGCAAAAGAAGUAGGUAGUUUAACCUUCGGGGGGACGCUUACCACUUUGUGGUUCAUGACUGGGGUGAAGUCGUAACAAGGUAGCGCUAGGGGAACCUGGCGCUGGAUCACCUCCUUAAACGAUGAU